GUACACGCUGUGACUAGCAUAUCAAUAAGCGGAGGAAAAGAAACUAACAAGGAUUCCCCUAGUAACGGCGAGUGAAGCGGGAAGAGCUCAAAUUUGAAAUCUUAAAGGGUUUUCCCUCUACGAAUUGUAGUUUAAAGAAGUGUUUUCUGUUGAGGUUUUGGUAAAAGUUCUUUGGAAUAGGACAUCAUAGAGGGUGAGAAUCCCGUAUUUGACCUUUACUUUCAACUUUGUGAUACACUUUCAAAGAGUCGGAUUGUUUGGGAAUGCAGUCCAAAGAUGGGUGGUAAAUUUCAUCUAAAGCUAAAUAUUGGCGAGAGACCGAUAGCGAACAAGUACCGUGAGGGAAAGAUGAAAAGAACUUUGAAAAGAGAGUUAAACAGUACGUGAAAUUGUCAAAAGGGAAGCGUUUGACACCAGUGUUGUUUUUCUGAAAAUCAAUUAAAGAACUGUUUAUGCUAAGUUGUUUAGACUUUAUCAGCUAACUGUUUAGUUUUGAGCUUUUCUUUAAUGCACUUUUCAGUUAACAAGUCAACAUCAAUUUCUUUUGCUGUAAAAAAGCUUGAGGAAGGGUGGCUUGAGAUUCGUCUUAAGUGUUUAUAGCCUCUUGCCUAUGCAGUCGGAGAGAUUGAGGUCUGCAGCGUAGAUCCUUCGGGGCUAAAUGCAUUUGUGCUAAGUUAUAGCAUUUUAUAGACAACUUGUUGACUAUGAUUUGUCUUGUAGCUUACUCGCUUAUGUUAUUUUACCUACGCUUAGGAUGUUGAGUCGUAGAGCACGCAGA
rnacentral:rRNA from 1 species